AUUGAACGCUGGCGGCAGGCCUAACACAUGCAAGUCGAGCGAGCGGCGGACGGGUGAGUAAUGUAUGGGGACUGCCCGAUAGAGGGGGAGAACUACUGGAAACGGUAGCUAAUACCGCACACUAUCGGACAACCCCUAUGGGAUUGGCUAGUAGGUGAGGUAAUGGCGCACCUAGGCGACGAUCCCUAGCUGGUCUGAGAGGAUGAUCAGCCACACUGGGACUGAGACACGGCCCAGACUCCUACGGAGGCAGCAGGGGGGAAUAAUGCACAAUGGGCGCAAGCCUGAGGCAGACAUGCCGCGUGUAUGAAGAAGGCCCUAGGGUUGUAAAGUACUUUCAGUCGGGAGGCGUUACCGAAAGAAGAAGCACCGGCUAACUCCGUGCCAGCCGCCGCGGUAAUUC
rnacentral:rRNA from 1 species